AUUGAACGCUGGCGGCGUGCUUAACACAUGCAAGUCGUGCGAGAAAGGGGACUUCGGUCCCUGAGUAGAGCGGCGCACGGGUGAGUAACGCGUGGAUCAUCUGCCCAAACGUUCGGGAUAACGGCGGGAAACUGCCGCUAAUACCGGAUACGCUCCAAUUUCGGUUGGAGGAAAGGCGGCCUCUGCUUGCAAGCUGUCGCAUUUGGAUGAGUCCGCGUCCCAUUAGCUUGUUGGUGGGGUAAUGGCCUACCAAGGCUACGAUGGGUAGCUGGUCUGAGAGGAUGAUCAGCCACACUGGAACUGAAACACGGUCCAGACUCCUACGGGAGGCAGCAGUGGGGAAUAUUGCGCAAUGGGGGAAACCCUGACGCAGCGACGCCGUGUGAGGGAAGAAGGCUUUCGGGUCGUAAACCUCUGUCGGGAAGGAAGAACCCCCCAAGUCCGAAUAGGGCUUGGGGCUGACGGUACUUCCAAAGGAAGCACCGGCUAACUCCGUG
rnacentral:rRNA from 1 species